AUGCUCAUUUCAGCAGCACAUAUACUAAAAUUGGAACAAUAGAGAAAAGAAUAGCACGGCACUUGCCCAAGGAUGACAAGCAAGUCCAUGUGAACUGGUAACUAAAAUU
ensembl:snRNA U6 U6 spliceosomal RNA